rnacentral:rRNA from 1 species
UGGGGAAUCUUGCGCAAUGGGCGAAAGCCUGACGCAGCGACGCCGCGUGAGUGAUGAAGGCCUUCGGGUUGUAAAGCUCUGUGGGGAGAGAAGAAUAAGUGCGGGCUAAUACCCCGCAUGAUGACGGUAUCUCCUUAGCAAGCACCGGCUAACUCUGUGCCAGCAGCCGCGGUAAGACAGAGGGUGCAAACGUUGUUCGGAAUUACUGGGCGUAAAGCGAGUGUAGGCGGUUUGGUAAGUCGGAUGUGAAAGCCCCGGGCUCAACCCGGGAAGUGCAUUCGAUACUGCCAAGCUAGAGUAUCGGAGAGGUUGGUGGAAUUCUCGGUGUAGAGGUGAAAUUCGUAGAUAUCGAGAGGAACACCGAUUGCGAAGGCAGCUCACAAAACUGUAACUGACGCUGAGGCACGAAAGUGCGGGGAUCAAACAGGAUUAGAUACCCCCGUAGUCCCUGAGCGGGCUGGCAAGGCGCAU